UGGACCCCUGCAUAACUGCUUGCAGUUCUAGUUAUUCUUCCCCCCGUACUUGUGGGACUACAGCCCAAACCGUAAAUGGUGCACACGCGCCAAUUGCAUGACUAGAUCCAGAAUCGGCACCGCUACUCAGAUAACAAAAUCCAGACACGCCGGCCACUAGGUGGCGCUAUACCAAGGAAUACGCGUUUGCGGCUAUAACUCCCACACCGAACCUCCCAGAGUCCAAAAACUUGUACACACAGAUGCACUGGAGUCUGCUGCAUCUUUUGGCAUAGGCCACGCCCAUUUGCGUCUAGAAUUUUUUUUCGCAAAAUCGCGAAAACCGCAAAACUGUUUUUUCCCUACUCCUCCCACAUUUCU
ensembl:lncRNA